rnacentral:rRNA from 1 species
GGAGUUAGGAAAUGUAAGUGCGCUAAUAUCGCAUUUAUUUGACGAAGGCUCCAAAGGAAGUCACGGCUAACUCUGUGCCAGCAGCCGCGGUAAUACAGAGGUGGCAAGCGUUGUUCGGAAUUAUUGGGCGUAAAGAGCACGUAGGUGGGUUUGUAAGUCAGAUGUGAAAGCCUUCUGUUCAACGGAAGAAUUGCAUCUGAAACUGCGAGUCUUGAGUGUAGGAGGGGAGAGUGGAACUUCUGGU